rnacentral:rRNA from 1 species
GUCCAUUUGAAGAUAUAAAUGGUCUGGCCUGCUCACUGACAAAAUUGUUUAAGAGCCGCGGUAUAUUGACCGUGCAAAGGUAGCAUAAUCAUUAGGGGUUUAAUUGGAACCUGGUAUGAAGGGUUGGACAAAGGAGAAACUGUCUCUAUAGUGGGUAUUGAAGUUUACUUUUAAGUGAAAAGGCUUAAAUAUUUCAGAGGGACGAUAAGACCCUAUAAAGCUUUAUAAAUAAUUUGAACUUAAUUAAUCUAAGAAUAAAUAUUAGAUUCAGUUAUUUUAUUUCGUUGGGGUGAUGUGAGUAUAAUUGUUAUUAACUGCUUAGAAGGAAAUACUAUUAUAAGAGAAUUAAUGUGUAUAUGAUCCUUUUUAGAGAUUAAAAGACUAAGUUACUUUAGGGAUAACAGCGUUAUUUCUUUUGAGAGUUCAUAUCGAAAAAGAAGAUUGCGACCUCGAUGUUGAAUUAAAAUAUCUAUAUGACGCAGUCGUUAUAUCAGAGGGUCUGUUCGACCUUUAAAUUUUU